rnacentral:rRNA from 1 species
CAUUACUGAACUGUUGACACGAGUUGUUGCUGGUCCUCGAAGGGGGACAUGUGCACGCUCUGUUUACACAUCCACUCACACCUGUGCACCCCUGUAGUUCUAUGGCCGGGGGGCACUGUUCCCCUUGCCAUGGUCCUGCGUCUUUACACACACACCGUAACAAAGUAUCAUGGAAUGUAUGUCGCGUCUAACGCAAUACAAUACAACUUUCAGCAACGGAUCUCUUGGCUCUCGCAUCGAUGAAGAACGCAGCGAAAUGCGAUAAGUAAUGUGAAUUGCAGAAUUCAGUGAAUCAUCGAAUCUUUGAACGCACCUUGCGCCCUUUGGCCAUUCCGAAGGGCAUGCCUGUUUGAGUAUCAUGAACACCUCAACUCUCAUGGUCCGCCAUGAUGAGCUUGGACUUUGGGGGUCUUGCUGGCGUAACCGUCAGCUCCUCUCAAAUGAAUCAGCUUGCCAGUGUUUGGUGGCAUCACAGGUGUGAUAACUAUCUACACUUGUGGUCUUCCACCAGGUUACCUUCAGUGAUGGAGGUUCGCUGGAGCUCACAGAAGUCUCUCCUCAGGGGGGACAACUUUUGAACGUUUGAUCUCAAAUCAGGUAGGACUACCCGCUGAACUUAA